rnacentral:rRNA from 1 species
AACGUAGGUACCGAGCGUUAUCCGGAUUUACUGGGCGUAAAGCGCGCGUAGGCGGGUUGGUAAGUCCGCUGUGAAAGCCCGGAGCUCAACUCCGGAGGGUCGGUGGAUACUGCCAGUCUUGAAGGUGCUAGGGGGAGAUGGAAUUACCGGUGUAGCGGUGAAAUGCGUAGAUAUCGGUAGGAACACCAGUGGCGAAGGCGGGACUCUGGGCCGAUACUGACGCUGAGGAGCGAAGGCGUGGGGAGCGAACGGG